rnacentral:tRNA from 1 species
GAGAUAGACCUAAUGAUGGUUAUUAGACCUAUACUGUAGAUAUAGCGCCCUUUGGCUGCGACUGUUCGAUUCAGUCCUAUCUCA